rnacentral:rRNA from 1 species
UACGGAGGGGGCUAGCGUUAUUCGGAAUUAUUGGGCGUAAAGGGCGCGUAGGCGGCCCGGUAAGUCAAAGGUGAAAUCCCUCGGCUCAACUGAGGAACUGCCUUUGAAACUGUCGGGCUUGAGGCCGGGAGGGGGUAGCGGAAUUCCCAGUGUAGCGGUGAAAUGCGUAGAUAUUGGGAGGAACACCUGCGGCGAAGGCGGGUUGCUGGGCCGACACUGACGCUGAGGCGCGAAAGCUAGGGGAGCGAACGGG